CCUUCCGCCGGAGGCUGAUGGAUGCUCCGGGUCUCCGGCAGCUGGAACCCCAGGCGAACCCCGGGCCGGGCGCCCUCCGAGCCCCCGGGGCUGCGCCCGGGACAGGCCUGCGGCCCGGAGGCCCAGUGAGGGGCCCCUCUCCCCGGACCCGCCCCCGGCGCCGUGCACUCCGCCCGGAGGCCCCCGGAGGACCCGGAGGGCAGUGCUGAGUGCACGGGGCUCCCUGCGGAACCAGGAACUUCGAUCGUUGUGCUGUUGACAUUUGGCUGUGCUGACGGAUGAGCCGACCACGGGGCUAGGCCUGACUUCGGAGGACGCCAGUGAAAUGGAGGCACCGACAGGAAAUGGCAGGAGGACCAACCGGGCCGAGGAAGACACGGAGCUAAGAAUCUCUCGAGUUCGCCAGCAGCCUAACCGACCGGACCACCGGACCACCGGACGACCGGAUGGCUGGCCAGUAGCUAUGACGUGGAAUGACCACCAGGGGGCAGAGGCUCGACGCAGGAGCUGCGCUCAGCGGACAGGCGGGUGCCAGAGGCCGGGCUCAGCUGGGCUGAGUUUGCGAGGCGGCCAGGCAGGCCUCCCCUGAGCUGCCAGGCCAGCGUGCGGCCCCUUCUGUCCACAGGAAGAAGCAUUCGGACCCGUAGAGAAUUUGGAGUGAGAAGGGGGAGAAGGGGAGAAGCAUGGAUGUGAGAGAGAAGCAUCCAUCAGCUGCUGCCUGCAGGCCCGCUCCUGCCGUGGAGCCGCGACCUGUGACCCUUCGGUGCAGGGAGGACCCUCGGCCAGCGGGGCCUCGGACCCGACCGGAGGACACGGGACCCAGAGCCCCUCGUCUUUCCCUCAGAAUGCCACGGCCUGGGCCAGUCUGUGUUGAAGAAGUGGCGUCAGAAGACGUUUAACUUUAAGAAACGUGGCUCUCCGAAGAAACGGCAGUCGUUGCACUUGGUGUUUGGCUCUGUGGACGGGUGAGUGUGCCGACCGCUGGGCUGGAACCUCAGCCUGGCCCUCGGCUCUGGGGUCCAUGCAGGGGGCGGGGCGGAGCAGGAAGGGGCCGGUGCCUACCGGGGCCUCAGCGCGUACGUCCCCCUGCGGUCCAGGCAGCGGCCGGCGCGGAUGGCGAAACAGAGGAAGGCGCUGAGCAGCAUGGCGUACACCUGGGAGGGCGGCGCCUGGGCCAGCGGCUCGGGAGGGCCCCUCCCCGGCCCCGCAGGGUCCCCCCCCCCAGGGGAGGGAGCGAGGCGGCUCCACCCGGCCACCUGCUUGGGGUCCGCCCUGCCUCCCCUGGGGGCAGGGGUGGGAGGGGCGGGGGAGGGCGA